UACGAAGGGGGCUAGCGUUGCUCGGAAUCACUGGGCGUAAAGCGCACGUAGGCGGUUUUGUAAGUCGGAUGUGAAAUCCCUGGGCUCAACCCGGGAACUGCAUCCGAAACUGCUAAACUUGAAUGCUUGAGAGGUUGGUGGAAUUCCUGGUGUAGGAGCGAAAUCCGUAGAUAUCAGGAGGAACAUCGGAGGCGAAGGCGGCCAACUGGCGAUGCAUUGACGCUGAGGUGCGAAAGCGUGGGGAGCAAACAGG
rnacentral:rRNA from 1 species